ensembl:lncRNA
UGUAGAGAAUGGGAUGGAAAAUAAGUCCAGCUCUUCUGGGUGACCACGAGGAGAGGAGCACAAGAGUCCUAAAUCCACUUUGGAUGCAAAAGAUGAGUGAUGGACCCUGGGUCCCCCAGGACUGACCUACAUGGACAGUUCCCUGAGCAAGGAAGGAGACGUUUCCUACAAAACUGUGUUCAAGAUCUGCUUUCAUUUGAACCUGUCCUGAAGUCAAAGAAGUUAAUGUGGCUUUAUCUGAGAGCAGAAUUUUGUCUAAAAUCUUCAUUACAUGCCAAUUCCACCAGGAUAAUUCAUAGUUAAGGCCUCUGAACAAAUUUAAAAUAAUCCUCUUUUGCUUCAUAUAAUGAAUAGAAUAGAUGGAAUUGCUUUCACAGACUUUCUGAGGAAAUUGAAGCAAUGUGUUAAAGUUUUAACAGUUUUUAUUUCUCUUUUCAGAUCUUAACCCAGUAUCAAAUAUUAAUGUCCUAAUAUGUUUAAGGAAAGCUGAAGUUGCUGUUAUAAUUAAUUUCGUAUCUGAGGAAAAAAAAGAAAAAAGUAUUGCUAACCACUUUUGGAAAGAAUUACACCAGCUCAGUUGAAAGCUUGUACAGAUCACCUGAAACAGCAUGCAAUAAUUUCAUGAAAUCGUACUGGAAGAGGAAAAGGACAAUUUCACAGCAAAGGGCUCACCAUUCCAGACCACAUUCAUUUUGCCUAAAUCUGGCCAAAGAAGGACUGUGCAUGAUUAGUAUAUACAAUAGAAUUGAAAUGGAGAACCAGGGGUGAAAUCAUAGGUUGACUGAUGUCAUGAAAAUAAUGUCCAUAGAGGAGGACUUCAUGCCAAAACCCAGGAGCAGACAGAUUUCUGAGAAAGAUCUUGAUCAUCAAUAACUCCUGCUAAUUCAGUGUAAAUCAUAGCAUUUGGUCCUGGGCCAAGCUCUCCUCCACCCAAUACCAGCACUGCUCAAUGUUGCGGUUUUUGUUAACCCACUUCUUCCAUUCUACUCUCAGCUUUACAUCAGGUUGGCAAGCACUGUGAAUCAUCUCUUUUGAUCCCUACAUGCUUUUAUAGAACAAAUUGGAAAAGCAACAUCCAUGAGGAAAUACAUGAAGAUCUAACCCAUCCUGUGUGAAAAUAUUAAUUUCAUAAUGUAGGAACUGCUGUUCUAUCAAUACAUCUGAAAAACAGCCCAUAAUAAUUCAGGCAAGGGAAGACUGGGUUAAGGCGAUGAGUAAAAAAAUUAGAGAUAAAAGUUAGACUUCUCUGUGAUCUUGGAGAUUUGUUGUAAUCUCCAGAGUCAGAAAUUUGGCCC